CCUAACCCUAACCUCGGGGGUCCGCCGCAGCCCUCACUAUGAUGGCGAGGGAGGUGGUGCACUACUGAAGCAAUUAGCAUCCAACAUGGCGCCCAGGGUAGUGUUGGCCUGUCGGACACCUGGGGCUGGCUGCACGGCUCACUGGCUUCACGCGCGUGAAGUGCGAGCUCUCUCUUAAUAAGCAAGUGCGCCGAGUGAUUGACGUCUGUGUCAGCAUGCGUUGAUGGACGGCUGUGAACAUCUUUCCGGUGCUGAUGUGUGUCGGUUUAUUCCGUAAAGGAACUUUGUGGAUUGGGUGACUAGGGCUCAGCAGCUGCACUUGAUGCUUUCCGCCCUGUGAACGGAAGUGUUUUCCUCCUGUCGCCUCUGGGAGGCGCCGGACACGACGAUCUGUCGGAUACGCGAUGUGAGAGCAAAAAUGUGGGAUAAUCAUUUCAACUUGCACAUCCCAGUGGCCCUGAUAAUCACAAGUCUUCAGGAAACUGCAGUGGCACCACUUCUAGGGCAGUCCUUGGCUAGCCGCUAGCUAGGUGGCUAACUUCUAGCAGUCAGCUAAGUUUAUAUCAGAUGACAGCAGUUGUGAUGACUGCAUGGCUGUGAACACUCAGCCAUCCGCCGCCUUUUGAUUUUUGAGAAUCAAGCAAACAUGAGUGGAAUUUCCAGGGUUCUUCAUCCAUAAAAUGCAAGAGGUUAAAAAUUGCUGGGUGUUUUCAGACCCUCAUUUCAAUAUGUUGGGGGUUCAGCUGCCCCCUCCUUGUCUCUCGCUGCUAGAAAUAUUGGAGGUUUUAUUGAUCAGUGGCAGAAAGACUACGCAUUAAUGUACAUUUGUCAAUAUUAUCGUGAACUUUAUCUCUGAUAUCCCUAACCCUAACCCUGCAUAUGAAAGUUUGCCCUGACGUUUAAUAAAAAGUAAUAACGAAA